rnacentral:tRNA from 1 species
GGCGGGAUAGCGAAGCGGUCAAACGCACCGGACUGUAAAUUCGGCCUCUCAGAGUUCCCAGGUUCGAAUCCUGGUCCCGCCACCU